AGAGAGAUAACUCAGUGGCAGAGUGCAUGUGUAGCAUGCAUGAGGUCCUAGGUUCAAUCCCCAGUACCUUCA
rnacentral:tRNA from 1 species